CUCAUGUUUCUCCAGGAGUUCUUCAACUCUGUGUGAUUGAGAUAGCAAAGGUCCUGAGAAUUCAACUUUGUCCAUUUGAUCCUGAACCUGUUCAAGCUGUCUCCUCUUUCAGAUAGAGAGCCAGUGACAGUUCUUGAGAAUGAUAGCCAUCAGAAGCAUCAAAUGAAUCUGUCUGCUCUAAUUGGCUCCAAUGUCGUUGCAUUGCAUGUUUGGUGGAUUCAUAGGUGUCACGGCCCUUAGAAUUGGUCCACGGGCUCUUCCACUAGGCUUCUUCCUGAAAAUUCUCGUAUAUUUAGAUCAAAAUUUAGCAAGAUCUGUGCAAUAGCAAGAAAAUGUAGCAAAUGCAAGAGCUGGUGUCAGCACUUGAGAGCAAGAUAGGGAGCUUAAAUAUUGCUACCAUUUUGUGGAAGUAAUCAUUCAAUCAAAACCAGUUUCGCCGUUUUAGUCAAACAAGUCUAUACUCUGUUUCAAGUUAUCAUGGUUUUAAGAGUAUCAUUGACUAGAUUAUAGCAUAAUCAUACCCUUACAGCAAAAUGAUGGAUGGAAAGCAUGCUUCGUCCUUGUCCUUUUGUGUAGGGUUGGUUUUGGGGGAGAGGGUGCAGAGGGGCAUUGGGUAGGGUAUUUCCCUUUUGUCAACCAUUGUGAUUUUCCCUUAAAAGUAAAAUUAUAACCAGAAAAAUAUUCCAAAAGAUUCUCCUGGCAGAAUGUCAUCAAGUUCUCACCUUUUUGCUUCUUCACAGUGUUUGGCAUCAAUCUCUUUGCUUGGUGGAUACUUUGGCAGGCUUAAAGGAUCGCAGGCAUGAGGCUUUGUCUUGAAGUACUAAAGAUAGAAUCCAAAAGUUGGGAAUUAGAGAUUUUGAAAUUUAUGUACUUGUAAAAUAAAGAAUAAGAAAUAGUUUUACAUGAGA